GGGUCUGUAGUCUAAUGGUAGGACGCGACCCUCACACGGUCGAGAAUUGGGUUCGAUUCCCAACGGACCCA
rnacentral:tRNA from 1 species